CGGAGGUUCAGUCCUCCCAGGCCCACCACUUCCUCGAUCGUCAUGUUCGGGAAAACACUAUCAGGGGCCGUAGCUCAGCUGGGAGAGCGCCUGCUUUGCAAGCAGGAUGUCGUCGGUUCGAUCCCGUCCGGCUCCACCAAUGCGCGAUCUCGAAGAGAUCGUCGCUCCAACCACCCUCUUGCGAGGUUGGCUAAGCGCGAUCCGAAAGGAUCGCGUGUGGGUGUCGAGCAGAGACGGCGAGAAAAAAGUCAUUCGUAAAAAGAGUUUGCGUCGAGCCUAGUGCUCUGCGCCUGUUCUGUUUGACAUCGUAAAGAGAAGAUUUGUUCGAACUUCAUGGGUUCCGAAAGGGCCAUGAUUUGUCGCAAGGGACGCUCAAUCCCUUGCCUAUGAUGGGUUUGCCUAACCGCGCCCUCGAACGGAUCUCGAGAAGCUGGUCUUUUUGUGCCAAUUCCAUUGAGGCAGGUCCCGCACAGGAUCUGGUUCGAGGCGACAAUCCCUUCGGGAUUGCGCUUAGCUAACCUCGCAAGGGGUUUGGCUUGAACGACGAUCCCUUCGGGAUCGCGUGAUGGGUAUUGGCAAUGAGAACGAUCAAGUGUCUUAAGGGCAAUUGGUGGAUGCCUUGGCAUGCACAGGCGAUGAAGGACGUGAUACGCUGCGAUAAGCUACGGGGAGGUGCGAAUACCCUUUGAUCCGUAGAUCUCC
rnacentral:misc_RNA from 1 species